rnacentral:rRNA from 1 species
GGCCUAACACAUGCAAGUCGAGCGCCCAGCAAUGGGAGCGGCAGACGGGAUAGUAACACGUGGGAACGUACCCUUCAGUUCGGAACAACCCAGGGAAACUUGGGCUAAUACCGAAUACGUCCGUAAGGAGAAAGAUUUAUCGCUGAAGGAUCGGCCCGCGUCUGAUUAGCUAGUUGGUGAGGUAACGGCUCACCAAGGCGACGAUCAGUAGCUGGUCUGAGAGGAUGAUCAGCAUCACUGGGACUGAGACACGGCCCAGACUCCUACGGGAGGCAGCAGUGGGGAAUAUUGGACAAUGGGCGCAAGCCUGAUCCAGCCAUGCCGCGUGGAUGAUGAAGGCCCUAGGGUUGUAAAGUCCUUUCGGCGGGGAAGAUAAUGACGGUACCCGCAGNAGAAGCCCCGGCU